rfam:Myotis lucifugus cont2.833, whole genome shotgun sequence.
GGCAGUUCUCAGGUGAUGCACCCCAGAAUCGGGCUCCCCCCUCUGUGGUUCCAGGUGCAUCACCCGAGAACCACA